GAGGGAUCAUUACACAAAUAUGAAGGCGGGCUGGAACCUCUCGGGGUUACAGCCUUGCUGAAUUAUUCACCCUUGUCUUUUGCGUACUUCUUGUUUCCUUGGUGGGUUCGCCCACCACUAGGACAAACAUAAACCUUUUGUAAUUGCAAUCAGCGUCAGUAACAAAUUAAUAAUUACAACUUUCAACAACGGAUCUCUUGGUUCUGGCAUCGAUGAAGAACGCAGCGAAAUGCGAUAAGUAGUGUGAAUUGCAGAAUUCAGUGAAUCAUCGAAUCUUUGAACGCACAUUGCGCCCUUUGGUAUUCCAAAGGGCAUGCCUGUUCGAGCGUCAUUUGUACCCUCAAGCUUUGCUUGGUGUUGGGCGUCUUGUCUCUAGCUUUGCUGGAGACUCGCCUUAAAGUAAUUGGCAGCCGGCCUACUGGUUUCGGAGCGCAGCACAAGUCGCACUCUCUAUCAGCAAAGGUCUAGCAUCCAUUAAGCCUUUUUUUCAACUUUUGACCUCGGAUCAGGUAGGGAUACCCGCUGAACUUAAGCAUAUCAAUAAG
rnacentral:rRNA from 2 species